GUGGGGAAUCUUGCGCAAUGGGCGAAAGCCUGACGCAGCCAUGCAGCGUGAAUGAUGAAGGUCUUAGGAUUGUAAAAUUCUUUCACCGGGGACGAUAAUGACGGUACCCGGAGAAGAAGCCCCGGCUAACUUCGUGCCAGCAGCCGCGGUAAUACGAAGGGGGCUAGCGUUGCUCGGAAUUACUGGGCGUAAAGGGCGCGUAGGCGGACAGUUUAGUCAGAGGUGAAAGCCCAGGGCUCAACCUUGGAAUUGCCUUUGAUACUGGCUGUCUUGAGUACGGGAGAGGUGAGUGGAACUCCGAGUGUAGAGGUGAAAUUCGUAGAUAUUCGGAAGAACACCAGUGGCGAAGGCGACUCACUGGCCCGUUACUGACGCUGAGGCGCGAAAGCGUGGGGAGCAAACAGGAUUAGAUACCCUGGUAGUCC
rnacentral:rRNA from 1 species